GAAUGUGAGCCUGGUAUUCUUUUGUAUUGACGGAUUCUGGUGAUCGAUCAAAACCGAUACACUGCUUAUUUGGAUUUGUUACAUUUCAUACAUUAUGGCACGAGAACAACACUCAUCUACGCCACCAUGGUUACUCGACGCAGGACCUUUAUUUCUCGUUCUUCUAAUAGGAGCUCAUGUUCUCGGACUGGUAUAUUGGAUUUAUAGAUUAGCGACUCAGAAACAACCACAACAGAGGCGAAAGGCUCAUUGAAGGAGAAGAAACAAGUUUGCAUCCUUGGAGAAAGGAAAUUUUGCAGCUGACUGCUUUGGGAAAUUGGCAAUGCUCAGAAUUGGCAAGCUAUAAAAUUUGAUAUUUUUUCUUUAGGUCUUCUAAGAUUGUUGAAGUAGAAUCUUUUCUAGAGAUUUAUAUUUGGUCCUUGCUGCAUGUGUUACUUGUCAUUGUCGUUAGUUAUUUAUUAGUCAAUCUUCUUUUAUAAACUAACACAAAACUUGAGUUGAUGAAUUGCUUUAUUAGUAGUAGAAUAAAUAAUGCAAAUUUUUAUUCUAAUUCUUAUUAAUUUGUUGAUAUGCCUUGAAUAUGUGUAGCAGUAUAAUAUUGGAACUCACAUAACAGAAGAUGAUGUUUUGUAAAUUGAUAACAAUGGUGUGCUUUCCAAAAUCGUAGCUGGUUUUUAAUGGUAUUGUCAUUCUUAUUCUUAUGACUUGUUCUUAGCGAAGUUUCACAUGUGUAUCCACAGAUCAAGAUUUGCUGCAGUCAGAAAAUCCUGCAAAUAAAAUUGGAUUUGUUCUUAGUGGAAUUUAUCUGAUCCAUCCGGUCAUGAUCAGAGUGCAAAUUAAAUCGGCCAAUAAAAUCUUAACUGUAUAGCUGUGUAAAAACAGUGACUGCAUCAGAUUCAAAUUACCAUGCUAGCUAGCACCCUUAUGGCUUUUGCAAUGUGUUUUGGUAACUAAAUAGUAUCAAAUUGACUAGUGUUGUACUUUUUAAAAAAAUAUUAUCAUGUGAAAAAAACAGAGAAAAAAGAUAUGUCGACAAGGAAACCAUCCGUAACGACGUGAUGCUUAGCUGGUUGGUUUGUCUUUAGGUGGCUUGAUGACUUUGACAGUUGGCGUGAGAAUUAACAGCCACGUGCUCAAAAAUCUUUUCAUGAACUAUCUAGUGAAAGGAUAAAAUGAUGAACGCAAAAAUGGGUUUUGGUUAUAAUAUCAUGCAGCAUGUUUUCACUUUACAUGUCAUUUUGUGAAUGCGUCAUUGACUUAGUCACCUACAUCUAUUUCAUUUGCUAAAUUUACUUUUUGUCCACGGAAUUGCUGUGUAAUUACAAGUCUACGACAUCAAGUCAAAGAUAAUUUUAAACCUUAAUACUCAAAUUCAUAUCAAGUAAAGAUAAUUUUUUUUAAUAGGCUGUAACACAAAAUUAUUACUAUACAGUGUUUUAAAAACCGGACCGAACCGGUCGGUCGGACCGGUUGAACCGGGAACCGGCCAGGUAAUCGGUCUGGUUCAAUUGCUAGAUCGGAUUUGUCAUUGAACCGGUGUGAACCGGUCAAAACCGGUGUAAACCGCUAAAACCAGAAAAAUCGGCGUUUUUCAUGAACCGGUGGUUUAAUUG